rnacentral:rRNA from 1 species
CGAGCACGCGCGUGUGGCAUAUCAAUAAGCGGAGGAAAAGAAACUAACAAGGAUUCCCUUAGUAACGGCGAGUGAAGCGGGAAGAGCUCAAAUUUGAAAUCUUCAAGGUUCUACCUUGACGAAUUGUAGUUUAUAGAAGUGUUUUCUGUUAGUAGAGCGGCAAAGGUUCUUUGGAAUAGGACAUCAUAGAGGGUGAGAAUCCCGUAUUUGGUCAUUCUUUCUAGCUUUGUGAUACACUUUCAACGAGUCGGAUUGUUUGGGAAUGCAGUCCAAAAUGGGUGGUAAAUUUCAUCUAAAGCUAAAUAUUGGCGAGAGACCGAUAGCGAACAAGUACCGUGAGGGAAAGAUGAAAAGAACUUUGAAAAGAGAGUUAAACAGUACGUGAAAUUGUCAAAAGGGAAGCGUUUGACACCAGUGUUGUUUUUCCGAAAAUCAAUUACGAAUGUUUUGUUUUUGAGGAGUUAUGACUUCAUCGGCUUGCUCCUUUCUUUACGAAACUUUCUUAAUGCACUUUUCGGUUAACAAGUCAACAUCAAUUUCUUUUGUUGUAAAAGGGUAUGAGGAAGGUGGCUUUCUUUUCGGAGAAAGUGUUUAUAGCCUUGUGCCUCUGCAAUCGGAGAGAUUGAGGUCUGCAGCGUAGAUCCUUCGGGGUUAGAUACAUUUGUGCUAAGUUAUAGCUUUUCAUAGACAACUUGUUGACUAUGUUUAGUCUUGUAGCUUACUCGCUGACGCUAUUUUACCUACGCUUAGGAUGUUGAUGUGAUACUGCGAGCA